UAACUCCCGCCGGCGACCGGCGCACGGGUGAGUAACACGUAUGAAACCUGCCCGUAGCAGGGGGAUAAGCGGAAGAAAUUCCGUCUAAUACCGCGUAACAACCCGAGGAGGCAUCUCCUCGGGUUUAAAGGAAGCGAUUCCGGCUACGGAUGGUCAUGCGUCGCAUUAGCUAGUUGGCGGGGUAACGGCCCACCAAGGCGACGAUGCGUAGGGGUUCUGAGAGGAAGGUCCCCCACACUGGUACUGAGACACGGACCAGACUCCUACGGGAGGCAGCAG
rnacentral:rRNA from 1 species